UAAAUAAAAUAACAUUGCUCAAGUAUGCACCAUUAAGCAGCUACUGUGCUGCUAAUGUAUUAUCCCAAAUUAUGUCAGAUUGCAUUGGUAAAGUUCAACUAGAAAAUAUUAGAGCUACCUGUAUUUCUGAUUGUACUUGGUUUGAGUUGAAAUGUGACACAUCCUGAUGUCACACUAGGUUAAGUGCAAGCUCAGAGCUGACAAUGUGUAACACUUUUAGUUAAGACCAAAAAAAAGGUAUGUAGUCAUUCUUCCCAUAUUCUACCAAAAUAAAUUACUGUUUUCAAAAUAUUAUUAUUGAAAAAUAUGCUUUCAGUAGGUGAAGGAUUUUAACAUUGGAUGUAAAUGCAAUCGCACUCCUUUCUCUGAUCUUUAAUUACACUGACUUUCUCCCAGGUUUACUUCCCUCAUCACCUCUUGUCAUGACCCUAGUGCAGAGUUAUGUUGUCCAUCAAACUGGACUAAGUUUUUCUUCUGGACUUAUAGUGAGUGUAGGUUUCAAUUCUGCUGAUCUGCACGGUGCCUGGAGAAUUGUUUUGUUUUGAAGUGAGGUUGGUUUACCACCUUGUGUUGUAAAUGCAAUUUGACAGUGCGAACACAUAUGUUGAUUUGGCUUAUUCAUGUCUUUCAACUCCCCAAUGUUAUGCUCCAGUAAAUUUUACCACAGAACCUUUACAACAGGCACAUUCCAGGCAUCCAAAGCUUAAUCCUGGAUAAAUAUCCUCAUGCAAACAUCUUGAUUCUCAGUAUCAUUUUGUAGUCCAUUUCUGUAGCAUGGAGUGGUAAUUCUUGCUGUAAAGUAUCCUUUUCAUUGAGCUCAAGAACAAGCAAAGAACGUGAGUACAAAAAACAUAGAUGGGUAAAGUCCACAAAUAGAACUGAUAAUGUGGACUUUGGCAGUGAUUUCAGAUUCCACAAUGUGCAAUAGGAGCAUAAAAUUAAAGGAUGCCUCAGCAAACGAUUGGACCAAAGUGAUUGCUGAGGGAAAUUUUUAAGAUAGUCACCAUCUCACACUUGUCUCACUUGCCUGCAGAUCAUCUGGCAGUGUGUGCAGCCCUAGAUUAACUUACCUUUCUGAAAUGACAUUCCCUCUUUUUCAUCCAUCUGCAGGACACUUGGGACCAUCAGGCUGCAGGUGCAUGUUAAUAAAAGAGCUAACAUUGAGUGAAAGAAGUAAAACAAGAACCAAGAGGCAUUAGUAGAAUACCAUUAAUGAAAGAUUCCUUAAUGCGUCUGUGUUUUGGAGGCUUAGCUACCCAUUGUUCACACUUCAUCUCAAGCACACAUCAAGCAAGGCACUGGAAGAAUAGCAAAGUGCAGGUUGUCACUUCAGUUCAGUCAUAUUAAGAGAGCUGCGGAACUUGAGGGCUUCAGCUCAAUCUCCACAUCAGAAAGCUCAGUAAAAGCAGUCCUGCCUGAAAGAGCAAGACCUGGCACCAAACAUUAAUACUGUCCAUGGACUGCACUUACAUUUCCCUUAGUGGCAGAUGACAUUCGGGCUUUUUUAGAAACAUCCCAGAGUAUUUGUUUGCCUUCUGUCUAUCAGUGGCAGACAGAACUGACAGCAGCUGUGCAAGUGAAGACCUCCCCCCAUGCACAAGGUAUACUUAAACUGCAAUAACACAGAACAUAAAAUGUGCACGGACUUCCAAGGAAAUUAUAAGCUAUGCCAUACCUUGACCCACUGAGCUAUGUGUCAACUUUCCAGUGGACUUGAAAUCAGGACAUUGCCCACAGAUAAACUGAAGUACUGGUCCCACUCUCUAGCUAUGAAAGAUUUGCGCUACUUGGGGUACACUGUAUUUUGUUCUAAUUUGUUCUAGUUCUGAGGAGUCUAUUCCCGUAAAGAACAUUCUCCAGAAAAUUACAACAGCAUCAUAAUACCUGUACCAGAGAAGUAUGUACUGCACUGGAUAACCUCCAUGAAAGCAGACAGCAUUUCACUGAUAGUCUACAGAAAUCUCUUGGGAUUGCUUGGUUGCUUUCUGCAUCCUAAGAAGAAAAAAAAAAUAGAAGCGAAAGUCACAUUAUGAAUUCUUGAACUAAUUUCACUGAUGUCUGUAAAAUUACAGUGGAGAUUAAUUUAGUUCUGUGCCAAGGAAAGAAGUUGUUAAAAAUGAAGUUAUGGAUUUGUGGGUUUUUUUGCCUGAUUUUAUUUUUCUGGUAAUGAAAAGACACAAAACUGUAUUCUGUGUGGACCUGUAAAUGGUCUUAAUAACAUAUCCAAUCUGAAAUAAAUACAAUUCACCUU
ensembl:lncRNA